rnacentral:lncRNA from 1 species
CUUUGUUAGUUCUAUGUUAGCUGAGCUAUGGAAGUUGAGCUAUGUUAGUUCUAUGUUAGCUGAGCUAUGGAAGUUAAGCUAUUUUAGUUGCCCUGUAAAAGGAGGUUUACAUAAAAUAAUCAAAGAUUUAUGAUGGAUAAGAUGGAUGUUUUACAGUUGCCAGUUUGUGUCGCUCCUCGCCCUGUUGUUAAAAGAGGAUGCUGGUCAAAAUCUUCACGUUUUCAAGGGGAUGGGAUGUAUUGAAACUUGCGUCUGUGAUUGUGGCCCAGUGAGUUAUAGCUGAACUGUAGUGCAGCAGGCUGCAUUAUGGCAGAACUCACUCCGGAAUUAUGGACGCAACUUCUGAUACAAGUAAGUCUAUCGCUGACAUCYGAUUGCAGGUUUUGACCAGAGUUCUUCUCUAACACUCUGUCCCCAGUGUAAUCGAGCUGCCUUCCUUUAUCUGCCUCUAUCUGUGGUCCCUGGUCUGUGGUGGUGAUGACAUUAACAGACUUGUUCCUGUACGAGGUGUGAUUCACUCAAAAUGGCCACGUGCACUCCUCCUCUGAGUGUGCGAUGCAAUGUGCCUUGGCUUUGCUAGCUGACAUUUUGACUAACCUCGUUCCCGUGUGUGGUGUGUGUGUGUGCAGUGUGUUGUAUCCACAGUAUGGUCUACUGUUCUCCUAGCCCUUAUCAACUGGUUUAGAGUCCGUUUUGUUUGUCUCUCUCAUUUGUUUGUCCCUCUCACAGUGGRCAAUGGGAGCUGAUCCUGUGUCAGUUGUUAUGGGCAUAAAUUGGCCCCUUAGCAGUGCAGCGUCUGGACAGCUCUACAGUGAGGACAUACUCCUGCUGAGGGAGGAGAAGAGAGACUGUAAGCUGUCCAGAUACUGUAUGUAGAGAAGGUCUUACUGUACCUUGGAGCUGCAGGACUGGUUAUCCUGCCUGGAACAAACAUUCUGACGAGACGCACUGCCAAGAAGCACCCCCCUACCUACCCUCCCACCCAACCUACCCCCAAAAAGAGGGGGGGGGGGCAGCGAGGGGUGCCUCGUGCCAAUCCGCCCCCCCUCUGCACUUACAAGUCAAGGCCCCCUGAAACCUGGGCAGCAGCUGCCGGUGCUACUUUCCUUCAGUCUGUCCUGUUGUCACCGUUUCUACCUUUUACAUGUACAAUAACUUGUUGAAGCAUAAUGUACUGUGUAUUUCUUCUACCAGGAGAUGUGUAGGUUAUCUGUAAAUUAAUAUAAAUAUGAGUUUUUUUAAAUAUAUAUAUAUAAAUAUAUACACAUCUAUAUUACAAAAAAGAAAAGAUAUUCAGAGUUUGUGCAAAUAAACCCCCCUUCCCAUUUCAAGUCCAUGUCCUUGGUUAAAAUAUGCUGCUCUUUGAACAUUUCUCCAUCAUUCCCUGAGAGACCAUUUUGUACAUAGUUAUUUUCCAUUGUGCAGGGAAACGUGUGUUUUCACCUUGGAGAGACUGUCCAUCUGGUCGCCACGUGACCUCCCCCCCCAGCUGGUAAAGCCUGCCCUCUAGUGGCGUGUACAGCCCCAUGUAUCCGUGUCACCAUCCACCAGCCACAGCCCCCCACCUCACAAUCAUGACGAAGCCCAUCUCAUAGCAAAGCAUUCUGGGAGGAGGACACAGAAACGCACUGUGACGUCUACUGAUGAUGUGACAAGCACUUUGAUACAACCACAGAAACUGUGGACUACAGCCACAGACUAAAAGAUAGACUCUACUCUGAAGCUACUCAGCUCAGAGAUCAACUAACAGCAGGAACACUCUUCAUCAGAUGAUCUCACUCACCUAUAGUACCUUGACCAUAAAGCCAUACAUGAAUAAACUCAAGCUGGACUUUUUUUAAUUUUGCCAUGGGGUCCGACUCAGCAUCGCUGAGAAAUAACUGAAAGACAGACUGCUUAACUCAGUGUGCGUAGACUGUAUAUGAACAUGUCGAAGUGAGGUGAAUUUUAAUGACAAACCUGUUGCUUGCUGUGACAUUGGUGUAACUGUUAACUCUUUGUUUUUGUCUGAGUUGCCAGGGAAACCUAUUGUACAGCCCUCCUACCUGUCUUUGAGUUAUUUCUGCUGGAGUACUCGAUCAAGUUUGACUUUUUUGUUGACUUUUACAUCCUCGAUUUGCACAAACAAAGAAUCAUUUUAUUUUGUGUCCAUUUUUUAUUCAUUGCUAAUUGUAUUUUGGUCAAAUCUACGUGGUGAUCAAUCAAAUUUUCAUUGCCAAUAAAAAAAAAUACUGUCAGUGAAGUAGCUGUUGAAAUGACUAUUUUUCACUCAUUGCUUCACUUCAGAGCUCUAGUAUGAAGAGUUCAUUCAUCAUAUUAAACUAUAAGAUAUAAACUAAACAUGACAAUUAUUUUAUUUAACUAGGCAAGUCCGUUAUGAACAAAUUCUUAUUUACAAUGAUGGCCUACAGGGG